rnacentral:tRNA from 1 species
GCCUCGAUAGUAUAACGGCUAGUACGAAGGUCUCAUAUCGGUCACAUUCAUAUGACCAAGCAUGGCUUGGGUAAUCCUUAGAUGGGAGUUCGAUUCUCCCUCGAGGCA